GUCAAAAUGCUUAGAUUAAUACCAAAUGAAAUCAUAAUGACUUUCUUUGAGGAAAGUUCAUAUCUUUAAAAAAAUUAGAUCGUAUAAGCCUUUAGAUAGAUAGCAUAAACCUGUCUCCGAAAUCUGAACCAGACCCAAAGGAAAGUGAAGAAGUGGGGCUCAUGGUGAUUAACAAAAAUCCUUGCAUUUUCGUCUUUGGAUGGAAGGUCACUAUCAGAAACUUUAAUUGGGAUGCCGUGUGCGGUACAUCAAAUAUUUGACAUUUCAACUAACUUUUCCAUGAACUGGAAUCGAGCUCGACCUAGAUUCUUGAGUUUCACGUUUUGAGUGUUCAUCAAAAGUUAUCCAUACGGUAAAUAAGGUACUCAAAUUUUAAUCUUCGCUCUUAACACAUUCAUGAUUCAAACAUUUCA